rnacentral:misc_RNA from 2 species
UUGAGUUGUUGACAUGGGUUGUUGCUGGUCCUCAAAUGGGGGCAUGUGCACGCUCUGUUCACACAUCCACUCACACCUGUGCACCCUCUGUAGUCCUAUGGUCUGGGGAUGCACCGUCUUCCCCCUGUAGUUCUAUGUUUUUUUUUACACACACACCGUUGUCUAGUCUUAUGGAAUGUGCGCAGCGUUUAACGCAAUACAAUA